GAUUCUUGUCUUUAAACUCUCUAGGGACGAUGCCGUCCUCACUGCCAGCCCCCAAGGCACACCCAUCCCCGUACCCUCCUUGCUACUGCUCAUCCAGGACCCCAUCUUUACGGGCCUCCCAAGUCAUAGGCGGUCACUCUCUUCUCUCCUUGGAUGCCCUUAACACAGAAAAUGAUCUGCGCCCUAGUUACCGCCUCUCCUACAGGAGCCCUCGGGAGACAGGCUUGUCGGGAAUCCUCAAAAAGGAUCUCUGCAUUUAAUGAGGAAGUGCUGUCAGCAGAAAGGAGAGGAAGCUUCACCCCGACCAUCCGCAGGACCCACAUCCCUCUCAGCGGGAAGGCAGAAUCAUUCAUCUAUUGCUCUCCUUGAAGGGCAGCUCCAGACACUCACGUGGACACAAGUAGGAAAAGCACAGAGUGUGUCAUCACACUGUGUACCUCAUACAGGUGACGUCCUGGAGAAACCUCUGGAAAAACAGAAAUUUUAUGACCCACAAUUAAAAUGAUUUAAGUAAUAAAUAACCCUGAUAGCUUGCCCCACCAAGUGUAUGCUAUGUUCCACACCCCAGGCCC
rnacentral:lncRNA from 1 species